rnacentral:rRNA from 1 species
UACGAAGGGGACUAGCGUUGUUCGGAAUCACUGGGCGUAAAGCGCACGUAGGCGGAUUUGUAAGUCAGGGGUGAAAUCCCGGGGCUCAACCUCGGAACUGCCUUUGAUACUGCGAGUCUUGAGUCCGAUAGAGGUGGGUGGAAUUCCUAGUGUAGAGGUGAAAUUCGUAGAUAUUGGGAAGAACACCGGUGGCGAAGGCGGCUCACUGGCUCGUUUCUGACGCUCAGGCACGACAGCGUGGGGAUCAAACAGGAUUAGAACCACGUA